rnacentral:SRP_RNA from 1 species
GCCGGGCAUGGUGGCGCAUGCCUGUAAUCCCAGCUACUCGGGAGGCUGAGGCAGAAGAAUCGCUUGAACCUGGGAGGCAGAGGUUGCAGUGAGCUGAGAUCACGCCACUGCGCUCCAGCCUGGGUGACAGAGCGAGACUUCGUCUCAA